rnacentral:misc_RNA from 1 species
CCAAUAGCGUAUAUUAAAGUUGUUGCAGUUAAAAAGCUCGUAGUUGAAUUUCGGGGUUAGUAGGUUGGUCAUGCCUCUGGUAUGUACUGGUCUCACUGAUUCCUCCUUCCUGAUGAGCCGUAAUGCCAUUAAUUUGGUGUUGCGGGGAAUUUGGACUGUUACUUUGAAAAAAUUAGAGUGUUUAAAGCAAGCUAACGCUUGAAUACAUUAGCAUGGAAUAAUGAAAUAGGACGUUCGAUCCUAUUUUGUUGGUUUCUAGGAUUGACGUAAUGAUUAAUAGGGAUAGUUGGGGGCAUUAGUAUUCAAUUGUCAGAGGUGAAAUUCUUGGAUUUAUUGAAGACUAACUACUGCGAAAGCAUUUGCCAAGGAUGUUUUCAUUAAUCAAGAACGAAAGUUAGGGGAUCGAAGACGAUCAGAUACCGUCGUAGUCUUAACCAUAAACUAUGCCGACUGGGGAUCGGAUGAUGUUAAUUUUUUAAUGACUCAUUCGGCGCCUUACG